rnacentral:tRNA from 1 species
CGGCGGCGAGGGCCUGCCCGGCGAGGCCGGUGCUGUUGCUGUUGGCGACCGAGGGCAGGUUCGGGUCCGGCUGCUGCGGCCC